ACACCUCACAACGCUCUCCCCAGCAGGGACCCACAUAUUACCAGAAAUUUGAGUCAUUAUCUCCUUGGCUUCAUCCACCUUGUCUGGGCUCCUGGCUUCCCUUGCACCCUGAGGUGUAAAACAGUAACUUCCAGGGUCCUUUGGGUGACUGUAUAACUUCACCAUAUUUAAUUAAUGCCACUUGCAUGCACGAAUAGUUACAGACAACUGUGAGUCCCUAGAGGGCAAGAAUAGUCUCAUUUAUAUUACUGUACUCUCCAAUCUAAAACCUCCUGAUUCACAGGCUGUACCCUUUAGAAAUCGGUUUGAUUGUUACAUUAAGGGUGGUGAUCGUUUUCUCUCCUAUUGUGUCUGGAAAAGGAGGUAUCUGUUCUUCCUUCCCCCACUCCAGAAACAGGUAGGGAAAUGCACAUGCCCCAAACUGCUCACCCAGAAAACAAAAUCAUUACAGAGUGCCUGAACCUGUUAAUGGAAAAUCUGGAAAAGUGCUGAAACAGUCAUGGUGAGAGAUUACAUUUCCCCCACAUGAAAGGCAGGCUUCUCAUCAAGCCAGGAAAACCCAGAAGACUGACUACCUUAUACAGAGGUAAACAUCAACACCAUCAAUGCGGAGAAACUAAACACGAAUCGCCCAUUUCAAAGGACCUGUGACCUGUCUUCUGAAUGCUUUCUGACAUUCAUUUUUCCCUUCAGCAGUAUCACACACAUUAAACUCUAUCACUCCAUCUUCAGUGUAACAAUCCAUGCAGAUCCCACCAGCCCUUUUCCCAACACGCAUUACCCUGUGUGCCUGCUCGCAGAGCCCUGCUUUCAUAAGCCUAAUAGUUGGUCUGGAGGUGGCCCCAUGACCCCACCUUCGGCAGAAAGAUAUCAGAGAAGUCUAUUAGAUGCUCCGGAAAAGAUUUCACCCCCAGCAAGAACAUGGUUCGAAAGUUCUCCUCCUGGCCAAAAAUAGCGGGAUGCCCGGGCUAGUGAUGCAGACACUGAGAUCCUUUUAGAGCCUGGACUCUUUUCCAUAAACAACUACUAAAGUCCAAAUCUUUUUAUUUUUAGGUUGUCUAAGGCCAUGUUUCCGCCCUGGCUGGUUGCCCGUCUGACCCAGCUCUGCUGAUAUAAUGGAUCCUGCCUGGGUGAACAACGAGGCAGUUGUCACAAAUCCCUGUCUAUUUAGCAGGCAAUGGACUUAGCACAGGGGUUUCAAUUAGUCUCUUGACAACUUCAGACUCAAGGACUCCUGUGUAAUCAGCAAGAUCUUUAAUCCCUCCUCACCACCCACACCAACCUCCCCUCUAAUACAGCACCCCUAUUCUCUUGAGCAAGAGGGAAAAUUCUGUCAUUUUCGUUCUUAAUGGAAGCCUGACAUCUGCAGACUACCUGUGCCAUUCCCCUGGACCACUGGCCAAAUCCUAAAAUGUAGCUUAAACAUUUGUGAAGAAAGUCUACCUCUGUAAAAGGCAAAUCAAACUUAUCGCUACCAUACAAGGAAGCAAUCUUUUUAAAAUCAGCUGCACACAGAAAAGGGUGAAACUGAUGAAACCUGUGGGAAAAGGAAGAAGAGUGAUUUCCCCAAAUGCCUACCAUAUCUGCAGCCUUCUAAAAUCACAGCUGAAAUUAACUGCAGUAGAGUACACAUCUUGAUAUACUGACUAUAUGAACGUGUAAUUGUUUUUUUAAUUCUUUAAAAAUCACUACAUGAACGUGUCAUUGUUUUUUUAAUUCUUUAAAAAUCACCUAAAACAGUAUUUAAGUAUUAUAUAGAAUGGGAUAUGCAAUGCAACUACACAACCGGAACGUAAACACUUUCCAGGUUGUGGAACCAAAAUUACGUCACAGCUUCAGGGGCUAACGAGGGGGGAUCAAAAUUUAAAACAAACCAACACCAAGUGAUAACAUGUUAGCCAUCUGCAGGAAGAGACAAAGGAGGCAGUAAGGGAAAAUAAAAGCAUGGAUGCUAAGCCACUCUCAAAUUUAAAAAUACCGUGUGUACAAAGUUGUGUCAGCUGUGAAAAUAAAAAUAUA